rnacentral:misc_RNA from 1 species
GAUGAAUACUAAAGGAUUUACAAAAGCAGUCCAUAUGGGUGGGGCAAUUCAUUUAAUGAGAGAAAUUAAGCUAAUUGAGUGGAGGCAAUUAGAUUAAUUGAGUGGGAACAAUUCAAGAUUUAUUAAAAAAAUUUAUGAAGGAGUGGGGCCAGUGGGGGCAAUUGUCCCCUCUAAAUCCGCUGGUUUGUGCUGGCCAUGCAUAUGCAUCUUGCACCCAUACUCAAGUUCCU